rnacentral:rRNA from 1 species
UUCCUACGGGAGGCAGCAGUGGGGAAUAUUGCACAAUGGGGGAAACCCUGAUGCAGCGACGCCGCGUGAGCGAUGAAGUAUUUUGGUAUGUAAAGCUCUAUCAGCAGGGAAGAAAAUGACGGUACCUGACUAAGAAGCCCCGGCUAACUACGUGCCAGCAGCCGCGGUAAUACGUAGGGGGCAAGCGUUAUCCGGAUUUACUGGGUGUAAAGGGAGCGUAGACGGCUGUGCAAGCCAGAUGUGAAAGCCCGGGGCUCACCCCCGGGACUGCUUUUGAAACUGUGUAACUGGAGUGCAGGAGAGGG